rnacentral:rRNA from 1 species
CAGUAGCCGCUGUAAUACGGAGGGUGCAAGCGUUAAUCGGAAUUACUGGGCGUAAAGCGCACGCAGGCGGUCUGACAAGUCAGAUGUGAAAUCCCCGGGCUUAACCUGGGAACUGCAUUUGAAACUGUCAGGCUGGAGUCUUGUAGAGGGGGGUAGAAUUCCAGGUGUAGCGGUGAAAUGCGUAGAGAUCUGGAGGAAUACCGGUGGCGAAGGCGGCCCCCUGGACAAAGACUGACGCUCAGGUGCGAAAGCGUGGGGAGCAAACAGGAUUAGAUACCCCUGUAGUCCCUGUCUCUUAUAC